GUGUCAGCAGCCGCGGUAAGACAGAAAAAACAAGCAUUGCUCGGAAUUACUAAACGUAAAGAGCGCGUAGGCGGGAUGGCAAGUCGGUCAUGAAAUCCCUCGGCUCAACCGAGGAACGUCGAUCGAUACUGCUGUUCUUGAGGAUUGCAAAGGAGACUGGAAUUCCCGGUGUAACAGUGAAAUAUGUAGAGAUCGGGAGGAACACCGAUAGCGAAGGCGGAUCUCUGGGACGGUACUGACGCUGAGACGCGAAAGCGUGGGGAGCGAACAGGAUUAGAUACCCUCGUAGUCC
rnacentral:rRNA from 1 species